rnacentral:rRNA from 1 species
GAUGAACGCUGGCGGCGUGCCUAAUACAUGCAAGUCGAGCGAACAGAUAAGGAGCUUGCUCCUUUGACGUUAGCGGCGGACGGGUGAGUAACACGUGGAUAACCUACCUAUAAGACUGGGAUAACUUCGGGAAACCGGAGCUAAUACCGGAUAACAUAUUGAACCGCAUGGUUCAAUAGUGAAAGGCGGCUUUGCUGUCACUUAUAGAUGGAUCCGCGCCGUAUUAGCUAGUUGGUAAGGUAACGGCUUACCAAGGCAACGAUACGUAGCCGACCUGAGAAGGUGAUCGGCCACACUGGAACUGAGACACGGUCCAGACUCCUACGGGAGGCAGCAGUAGGGAAUCUUCCGCAAUGGGCGAAAGCCUGACGGAGCAACGCCGCGUGAGUGAUGAAGGUCUUCGGAUCGUAAAACUCUGUUAUCAGGGAAGAACAAAUGUGUAAUUAACUGUGCACAUCUUGACGGUACCUGAUCAGAAAGCCACGGCUAACUACGUG